CUGUUUAUUUUGCAUCCUGCAUGUAUAUUUUCGCUCAUAGUAGUGCCAUUAUGUAUGUAGUAGCUUCCUCACGCCAUCUGAUUGAUAUUGAGAUGUACAAAUUCAUCCAAGGCUCCAUUCAUAAAUCAUAACUCUACCCUACUAUUUUACUAAUUUAUUGUGAGGUUAUCCUUCAUGGUUUGCACAUUGUUAUUUCUUAGGCACAUAGACGCAUGAAUGUCCUUAUUAAUAAAUAUUUUUGUUCCAGCGAUUCCCUACUGAAGAAAGAACGCGCAAACAUUGCCAUGCAAAGGACUAUUUGUUAGAUAAUGAUUCCUCGCGUAUUCAUUUUCUUCCUGUCUUGGGAGAUAAUUUUCCAGAUUCUACCUUUACAGAUGGCCUUUAUCACUUUUCAGGUAAAACAAUGAAUUAUCUUUGUUUGUUCUAGGAGAUAUAUACCACCCUUGGGAACCAAGGAAAGAAAGGCUCCUUCUUCUAUCUUCGUCAUUUGCAAUAUCAAUUGGAUCUCUCCGUUGUGAAGUGCUAUCUUCGCUAUCUACACUCACAAUGUUACUGAUUUGUGUCCAAUCACGCUUUCUCUACUAUCAUUUGCAAGAUGAAGCCUGAGGACACUAUCAUUCCUUCCUACUAAAUGUCAGCCACUACUAUUUGCAUUAGCUUUGCCUCAGAACAACCCCUUUUUCAUUUCAAAAGAGGAAGUAGCAGUUCUCACUAAUGAUCAGCUAUAUAAGCUAUCGUAGAUUUUCUUUGUUUAACAAAGACAACGACCCGGUACUGUCAAUUUCUCUCGACCUUCAUUUCCACUAUCUGUUAUCUCAUAUUAUGUU